AAUUUCAAAUAAUGAUUUACUGGGUUUUGACCACUCCUUGAGGAUAAAGUGCCCCCCCCAAGACCUUUGACACCUGGGGGUCUAAGGGUU
rnacentral:snoRNA from 1 species